AUUUAUAUAGAUCCAUUUUAGAUCGUAACACUGAAGAUGUUAAGGAGAUUGUUAAAAUCUAUAUAAAUA
rnacentral:tRNA from 1 species